UUUUCUAACCCGCAGUGACCUAAUUGACCAGGAAUACUGCUCCUGUGACUAGCUGUAGUGUCUGCAUGAUUUCCACAUCUCUUAACUGGUUGAUGAGCUCUGGGGGAAGGAGUAUAAGCCACUUGGAUGGGACAAAGGACUGCUCAUCCUGCCUCCUCGUAGCCUCAGAAUUCAGAUCUUAGGGAAAAGAACCAAUCACCCCCCAAAUGGUGAAGGCAGGCUCACUGAAAUAGUGUGUGGUGGUUUCUCUCUGAGUCUUUAUCAUGGAAGUAUGCUCAUGCCCCCACCCAAGGAAAGGUUUCCAUUGCCUGGAUAUGCUGCCUUGUCAUGUCCUUAGGAACUGCUGCGAUCCUGUGGAAGACCUGAGCCCUGAGCAAUUCUGGAGAUCAGAAGUGAAAAACCAGUUUCACUGGGCCAGAAUCAAGGAAGAAUGGACCCCUCCCCCCACGCCCUUGCCUCCCUUUAUUCCACUUGUGAUUACCAGUAGAACUCACCGGAGCAGCUCAGGACAUUCUUCUCAACCUCAAGAUCCUUAACUUAAUCGCACCUACAAAGUCUCCCUCGACAUUUAAGGUAACCUCUAAAGGUUCAGCGAUGAGGACCUGGCUCUCUGAGAGUCCUAACCAUCUGUUAACUGAGCACAGCUCCGUGGUUCAGGCUUGGGGUUGUCAGGUCCUAAGGAAGACGCCUGAAUGAGAAGAGUCCGCCAGAGAUAUUCAAGUCACAGAUCUUACUUUUUUCUUACCCUUCUCCUUCCUUGGAAAAGGAGGAACAGACAGCAUUUGAGACCUGAGAGGCUGAGGCACCGAGCGCUGGGUGGCAGAAGGGGCAAGACUAGAAUUCAGGGCCUCUGCUGCCCAGAACUCUCAGCCUUGCCUUUUCCCACCUUCCCUCCAGACCCACCACCUCCUUCUCAGAGUCUUGGGCUGCCUGCCGAGCUGUGUCCAGCUCUUUCCUUGGGUCACACUCACGGUCUUCCCGUGGUCUGCCAAGCUGCAAUCUUGCACAAGGCCAGCAGGCGUCAGCAUCGCCCGCGCAAAGGGUACUCCAACUGCGGCAGGAGAGAGCCUGAGCUCAGAGACGUUUCUCCAGCCACUUCUAGCUGAAUGUGGUGCUGCUUCUCCAUCUUGGCCACACAGCUGUUUCAAACCCUAGAGAAUGAGGUUUGGGCGUAGCAGACAAUCAUGAUGCUGGACAGGGAGGGAGGGAGGCGUUGGACUGGGAGGAAGCGCUGGCCUCGCCCCGGAAGGCCCAGAAAGGAGAGCGGGUCCCUGGGUGCUGUGGAGCCUGUAGAGAAAAGGGCCCCGGAGCCAGAGACAUCCAUUUAUUUGUGCCCUCAAAGGCCAGAGGACUUCCUAAGAGUAAUGCACUAUUGGUUUCCAAAUGCAUUUUUCGCAGAGCAUCUCAGAUUCUUGGCCAGAGUUUUUCUGAUUCCCAAUCCCCACGGUUCCAAAUGGAGAGCGUUCAUCUCCUGAAGGUGGGGCUGGGUUGGGCUGUCAGGAUGUGGAGGGCAACCUAAGCCUGUGGGAAUUUCCUGCCUGUGCAUCGUCUAUGGAGCCUCAGCAAGCUUUUGCUAUUUAAGUGCAGAAUAAACCAGCGAUUAAGGCCUUAGCCUAAUUGCUUUCCCCCACUUAUUUGUGGCCAGACCUGGGCAGCUGUGCAGUAGCCUUUGGCCCCAUCACUGAUUGCAUAUUAA